AUGAACGCUAGCUACAGGCUUAACACAUGCAAGUCGAGGGGCAGCAUGGUCUUAGCUUGCUAAGACUGAUGGCGACCGGCGCACGGGUGAGUAACACGUAUCCAACCUGCCGUCUACUCUUGGACAGCCUUCUGAAAGGAAGAUUAAUACAAGAUGGCAUCAUGAGUCCGCAUGUUCACAUGAUUAAAGGUAUUCCGGUAGACGAUGGGGAUGCGUUCCAUUAGAUAGUAGGCGGGGUAACGGCCCACCUAGUCUUCGAUGGAUAGGGGUUCUGAGAGGAAGGUCCCCCACAUUGGAACUGAGACACGGUCCAAACUCCUACGGGAGGCAGCAGUGAGGAAUAUUGGUCAAUGGGCGAGAGCCUGAACCAGCCAAGUAGCGUGAAGGAUGACUGCCCUAUGGGUUGUAAACUUCUUUUAUAAAGGAAUAAAGUCGGGUAUGCAUACCCGUUUGCAUGUACUUUAUGAAUAAGGAUCGGCUAACUCCGUGCCAGCAGCCGCGGUAAUACGGAGGAUCCGAGCGUUAUCCGGAUUUAUUGGGUUUAAAGGGAGCGUAGAUGGAUGUUUAAGUCAGUUGUGAAAGUUUGCGGCUCAACCGUAAAAUUGCAGUUGAUACUGGAUAUCUUGAGUGCAGUUGAGGCAGGCGGAAUUCGUGGUGUAGCGGUGAAAUGCUUAGAUAUCACGAAGAACUCCGAUUGCGAAGGCAGCCUGCUAAGCUGCAACUGACAUUGAGGCUCGAAAGUGUGGGUAUCAAACAGGAUUAGAUACCCUGGUAGUCCACACGGUAAACGAUGAAUACUCGCUGUUUGCGAUAUACGGCAAGCGGCCAAGCGAAAGCGUUAAGUAUUCCACCUGGGGAGUACGCCGGCAACGGUGAAACUCAAAGGAAUUGACGGGGGCCCGCACAAGCAGCGGAGCAUGUGGUUUAAUUCGACGCAACGCGAAGAACCUUACCAAGGCUUGACAUAUACAGGAAUAACUAAGAAAUUAGUUAGCUCUUCGGAGUCUGUAUACAGGUGGUGCAUGGUUGUCGUCAGCUCGUGUCGUGAGAUGUUGGGUUAAGUCCCGCAACGAGCGCAACCCCUGUACUUAGUUGCCAGCAUGUAGAGAUGGGAACUCUAAGUAGACUGCCGCGAAUAACGCGGAGGAAGGUGGGGAUGACGUCAAAUCAUCAUGCCCUUUAUGUCCUGGGCUACACACGUACUACAAUGGCGUUAAACAAAGAGAAGCAAGACCGCGAGGUGGAGCAAAACUCAGAAACAACGUCCCAGUUCGGACUGCAGGCUGCAACUCGCCUGCACGAAGUCGGAAUUGCUAGUAAUCGUGGAUCAGCAUGCCACGGUGAAUACGUUCCCGGGCCUUGUACACACCGCCCGUCACACCAUGAGAGUUGGGGAUACCCGAAGCCUGUGAGCCAACAUAUCUAUGAGGCAGCAGUCGAAGGUAGAAUCAAUGAUUGGGGUG
rnacentral:rRNA from 1 species